rnacentral:tRNA from 2 species
GGGGACGCAUGGGUCCUGGUGGGCCCCAAGGACUUCAAAUCCUCUGUCGGGCAUCUCUGUGUCCGAGGUGGGUUCGAUUCCCACACGCCCCCGCCA